UACAGAGGAGCCAAGCGUUGUCCGGAUUGACUGGGCGUAAAGCGCACGCAGGCGGUUGCGCGCGUGGGGGGUGAAAUCUGGCCGCUUAACGGCCAGGCGCCAUCCCAUACGGCGCGACUGGAGUGAUGCAGAGGUCGAUGGAAUUGCCGGUGUAGUGGUGAAAUGCGUAGAGAUCGGCAGGGACACCCAGGGGGAAACCAGUCGACUGGGCAUCUACUGACGCUGAGGUGCGAGAGCGUGGGGAGCGAACCGG
rnacentral:rRNA from 1 species